GCAGCAUAAAAGAUAAAGUCCCUUUCAUAGCAACUUAGUUCAUUUGCCAAUGGCACAUCUAAAGAAAAAUGGGGACAUAAUAGAAUAGAACAGUGCUACUGAAAGUGAUGGUCCCUGGACCAGUGCCACUCCAUUAUCCAUUGGCUGCCAGUCCAUGAAGAACUUCCAGGAAAGAAAGAAACAGUUGUAGCCAGUAGAAACAAAUAGGAUACCAGUCCCAGGUAGAUUUUUUUUUGGGGGGGGGGGGGUGCUGUUUGCUCACAUCAGAUGGCCUGAGAAGCAAGCCUAAUGUAGCCACAACUGUAUGUAGGAACUGACCCUGAAAGAGAGAAGCUGAGAUUGCAAGAUCCUUACAAGCAUCUAUGUCCCCAAGCCAUCUCUUCUUCUAGGGUAAAGAACAUGUCUGAAGGUUAUUUCCAUUUUUUCAGAGGCCCCCUGCCUAUUCUGGCAGAGUGGGUGAAGGAAAAGAGGAAACCUGUGUAGUAUGUUUGAACUUUGGAGCUUCUUACCUCAAAAAUCAGGAUGAAAAGACUCACCACCAGUGGCAGGGGAAGUAAAAAUUGUAUGUUCCAGAGACCUGCUCAGCUCCAGUUGAGACAGCAAUUCAAGUUCUUGGCAGAAAAAGAGGCCAUGAAUCUACUGUUGCUGUUACCACUAUAGAGGCAUGCUGCUAUUUACUUUGUGUGGCCAUUGUGACUUCUGGAAAUGGUUACGCAGCCCUGUGAAACCCAAAGCCUCGGCCAUCAGUAGUGCUAGUGGCAGAGCCUUUAUUUCAGUAGGGAAGAAGCACCCUAGACCUGAGUGAUCCCCCUGGUAGGAUUGCUAGGUUCUGGGGAAAUCUUCUCAGCAUGUACAGUAGUUGCUCUUGUUCUGUGGAAGCAGUGCUUGUUUCCUGUCUCUUCUUAGAUCAUUUCCACAUUUCAUACCAGGAGUUGUUAUCUGAUGUUUUCUCUUCCACAAACAACAACUUGAUAGUAGGAAAAAUGAGCACCUCAGUUCUCCCCCACUCACCCCCCUUUUUUAAAAAGAAUAGUGAAACAUUAACAGCUCAGUGAAAAUAUCAGUGAUGCAGUUCUAUCUAUUCAAGCAGGGAAGGAGAGGAAAAGAGGCUAGAAAAUAUCUAGAUCUCACUUGUCCAUUUGUUGGAAGCAAGCACUCCAGAAAUGUUCUAUUGUCACUCCAAAGUUGGCAGAACCAUACAUGGGAGCUUCUCCACUAGAAAGGCUCUUCCUGUACACUGAGGCAUAUGGCCAGCUUCCUAGCCAACCUAAAUGAGAUGGGCUUCUGUGACCGCACCUUAACCUCGGUUGCUACGGAAACCAACUGUGACAUGGCCCAAGUUGUCACAGAAUUGCUACAGCUGAGUCACAGUGAUUGGUAUGGAAACCAGUACUGAACCUUGUUCAUCUUGCUCAUUAAAAAAUGAGCAGCAAGUUGCACCAGCAUCAUCCUGCUCUUUCUAUUCCACCAUACCAGAGAUGACUGGGUUCUGUUUUUCAGCACAAUACAGUUCCCCAGUUGCUCCAUUUCCCAUAACUCAGACACUAGGAUUUUUUUCUUUAACCUUGAACACUGCAGUCUUCAACGGGCAUAAUGCAAGUCUUUAUAGAGAAAAGGUGAAAGUAUCUAAAGAAAUAUGAGUGAGCCUUUCACUAACCCUGUAGCUAUUGUUGUUCAUGUUGUAAAAGAACCAGAAAACCUGGAAACCAUUCCACAUGUUUGCCCAUCCCAUCAUCUUGUGCACAUGGAAACAGGCAAUGGUGGAGGGUUAAUCCCAAUUCCAAAUUCUGUCAACCCAUGAAGAAGGUGACCAAGCUGUUUGUUUUCUAGUUUGCUUUAAAACUCUCCUAUAUAUUGUCAGAGCAAUAAUUUUGUCACCAACUCUACAUUGUGUGUCUUGCAGGGCAUUGGCACUGCC